rnacentral:rRNA from 1 species
UACGAAGGGGCCUAGCGUUGUUCGGAAUCACUGGGCGUAAAGCGCACGUAGGCGGAUUCGUAAGUCAGGGGUGAAAUCCCGGGGCUCAACCUCGGAACUGCCUUUGAUACUGCGGGUCUUGAGUCCGAUAGAGGUGGGUGGAAUUCCUCGUGUAGAGGUGAAAUUCGUAGAUAUUAGGAAGAACACCGGUGGCGAAGGCGGCCCACUGGACCGGUACUGACGCUGAGGCGCGAAAGCGUGGGGAGCAAACAGG